GCAUAUCAAUAAGGCGGGAGGAAGAAGGAAAACCAACAGGAGAUUGCCCCCAGGUAACGGGCGAAGUGAGAGCGGCAACAGCUCCGAAAUUUGAAAUCUGGCCCCCCAGGGCCCCGAGUUGUAAUUUGUAGAGGAUGCUUUUGGGCGCGGUGCCUUCCAGAGUUCCCUGGAACGGGACGCCAUAGAGGGUGAGAGCCCCGUCUGGUUGGACACCUAGCCUCUGUAAAGCUCCUUCGACGAGUCGAGUAGUUUGGGAAUGCUGCUCUAAAUGGGAGGUAUAUGUCUUCUAAAGCUAAAUACCGGCCAGAGACCGAUAGCGCACAAGUAGAGUGAUCGAAAGAUGAAAAGCACUUUGAAAAGAGGGUUAAAUAGUACGUGAAAUUGUUGAAAGGGAAGCGUUUGUGACCAGACUUGGGCCCGGUUGAUCAUCCACCGUUCUCGGUGGUGCACUCUGCCGGCCCAGGCCAGCAUCAGUUCGCGCCGGGGGAUAAAGGCUUCGGGAAUGUGGCUCCUCCGGGAGUGUUAUAGCCCGUUGUGUAAUACCCUGGUGCGGACUGAGGUUCGCGCUCCGCAAGGAUGCUGGCGUAAUGGUCAUCAGCGACCCGUCUUGAAACACGGACCAAGGAGUCGUCUUCGUAUGCGAGUGUUCGGGUGUCAAACCCCUACGCGUAAUGAAAGUGAACGCAGGUGAGAGCUUCGGCGCAUCAUCGACCGAUCCUGAUGUUCUCGGAUGGAUUUGAGUAAGAGCAUACGGGGCCGGACCCGAAAGAAGGUGAACUAUGCCUGUAUAGGGUGAAGCCAGAGGAAACUCUGGUGGAGGCUCGCAGCGGUUCUGACGUGCAAAUCGAUCGUCAAAUAUGGGCAUGGGGGGCGAAAGACUAAUCGAACCUUCUAGUAGCUGGUUUCCGCCGAAG
rnacentral:rRNA from 1 species